rnacentral:pre_miRNA from 1 species
CACAGGGUAGGGGGGCCCCUCAACCCAGAUUGCGAGAGGGCGCAGGCCAGGCCGAGGGACCCCACUGGUGCACG